GCAAGAUAACUCAAGCUGAUGAAUAAAUAAUACCUGGGGAUGAAUAAUUUAAAUGUAGUGUCAGAUGCUUGGAACAAUCUUUAUCCUUGAAACAAUAAGAUGCGACCACGUGCGGUUUGUGUGCCAGACCGAGAGGGUGGAGGAUUAAAACCCUGACUUGGGGAGCUGCACUCUCAAAUUCCAGGAGAUGCUGAGCAACAUCCCACACAACACUUUUCAGGAAGCAAGAGCAUAAAACUCCUGCCCUGAAGUUUAGGAAGGGGAGGUGGGUAAAAACCAGGUUGUUGUGCUUUCCCUCAGCUGCUGGGGAUGGAGGAAAAUGCUAUCAGGUGAAGAUGAUUAAGGUAUUUCAGCCAUGCAGGGAAUUUUGGAGACAGAAAUUGCAGCUGACAUACAGGUGGGAAAAAGUUUUUCCAGGUUUUUCUCCUUAAGAGAGAGAUUGAGCAGUCUCACAAGGCAAAGGAGCCUUUAGCCACUCUUGGCUUUAUUUAUCGCAAGCCAUUAACGCUGUUCCUUUAGGUGCUUUUGCUAAUUGAACAUCCGGGCUCAGGGAGCCUUUCUGCAAAGUCACUUCCCGGGGUCUGUGGUGUCCUUGCUGCUCUCCAGACCUGCCACUACCACAGGCAGGUGGCUCCUCUGCAAGGUCCUGGUGUCCUUGGUACAUCUCAUUGAAAAUAACUGGAAAACUUGGAUUCAGUUUCACCCUGUGUGUGCCCACCUGUACCCACCACCUCGGAGAGCAAAUAAACCCCCAAAACUCAGAUCUGGAUUUAUCAGAGAAUUCUCUCAUCAGCUUGGAGAAAUCAUGCAACCUCCCCACGUCUCUGUGAGAUGAAGAUAACACAUUAUUUCUCUCCCUUUUGCUUGGUUUGACUGAAAAUUUCUCAGGGCAGAGCUGCCCGGGCUGUGUCUGUGCAGAGAACAUCGUACAAUGAAUUGGGAGUUCGGCUCCGGGCACAUCAGCAUUACUACAAUGCAGAUUAAUAUAUUUUUUUCCUUCUUUCAUUUCUUUAAAGAAGAUACAAUCUACCUCUGCUUGAGCUCUGCCUGAGGUAUGAAAUAAGUGUAAAAGUUCACGUUUUUAGCAGCAAGAUGUUUCUUAAUUAGAGCUUUUCUUAUCAGUCGACUUCUUUUAACCAUUUAGAUUUAAAUUUAGUCAGGGUCUCCAAUAUGCCAUGUUCUUUUAAUUUUCCCCCCCAUUAUUAGUGUAUCUAAAUUAUGUGCAUUUCUUUGUGGGUUGCUGUGCAAUAAUUCUUCCUCCUAACUAAUAAU
rnacentral:lncRNA from 13 species